ACCAAAUUAAAUUUAAAACUGAUUGAACGCGUGCAGGAUCAGUGAAUCAUGUCUCCGGUCAGGCAACCUCUCAAUCCACCAUGGACCACCGCGUCGGAAAUCGUCUGUGGCGGCGGCGGCCACCAAAAACAAGAAAAUAACCUCUCAACAUGACCAACUACUCCUAUUCUUCCCAAGCCCUAAGUCAAUUCCUCCCAAUUUCCCUUUAAUCAUCUAAAUCAAAGAGGGCUAGGGAGGAACCCUAACAACCUAAAUGCAAAUUAAAUGGCGGAAGCGCAAAAUUAGAGCCCUAGAUGUUAGGGCUUUGAUCUGCCUCAACACAAGAUACACUGUGGUAAAUCAAAUGAAGCAAGAAGGUGGAAAUCAAGCAUGAACUCACAAGAACGCCGUGCCAGAGGUUCCAGGUAAUUCUCUGAAUCCUUCCAAGCUCUCUCCUCUUUCUUCCUCGCCUUAAUCUUCUUCUUAUUCCUUAUUCUUUUAGAUGAAUUUGAGAGAAUGGUUGAGAUCUGUACUUAUGAUUUUUGAGAGAGACUUAUGAUUUCUCAUAGAGUGAAAGAGAGAUUAGGGCUCAGCUCUUGUUGUUUUAGAGCUUCAAUGUAAGGCCUUGAGCAACAAUGGAGAAAAAGCUUUGGAGUGAGGGAAAAGGUUGAGCUCAGAGAGAUCGAAAAUUUGGAAAUUAUGGGAAUGAAAACCUCCCUCGAAUGAGUGAAAGAUGCAUGGAUUUAUAGCAUUUGAAAUUCUGUUAUGAGAUGCUACUCAAAUUGCUUUGAAACUCACCCCAAAUUUAAAGUCAGUUGAAAAUGAGAAGAGUUGUUAAUAUGUUAGUUAUGUAACUCCAGUUAGUUAGAUUAGGUUUCGGUUCAAGUUAAUUGGGAUUGCAAUCCAGUUAGUGAUGAUUAUGCUUAUAUGAGUGUUACAUUAGGUUAGUUACAGUGGAACUCCAAUUUGUGUUAUGUUAAAAAGCAGGGUUCCUAUUAUGCCUCAGUUUUUUCUGCUAAGCAUUUGCUAUACUUGUUAAUUGUGUUGCUGCUAAAUGAGUUGUGGAAUUGGGAUUAUGGGAGAAUAGUUAGUUUUUGACUCAGACCUUAUGAACUUCAUUUUAUAGAAAUCGAAUUAAAAAAAAGAUGAAUGUCACGAGGUGAAGUUUGAUAUGAAAAAGGUUGGUAUUUGCUUCUUCCUUGAUGGUCUGUUAUGCAGAACCUAUAGAAAUGAUUUUGUUGUUUCCCAUGCCUAUGCAUGUGGAGUUAGAGGUACAAUUAGUGUGCUUGAUUGGGAAAUGCAGGGCCAAUGAGUUGCCAUGAGUUUCUUCCACUACAUAGCUAAGGAAAAACUAAGCAUUACCUCAUUUCUACAAGCCUGCCAAAGGAUGUUGCUGAAAAGGGCUGAUUAUGUAGGAUUUGGCAUUUGGUUAUGACUUCAUGGUAUGGACAUUUGAAUGGUAGAACAUGGCUUGGAGCAAAAUGAGGUUUACUUGCUCAUGAAGAAAUUGAUCAUGGAAUCACUUAUGCAGGACUCUAAUCAAAAUAGUCAGAUAGACACUCAUCAGAUACAUAAUCAAGUUCUUAGAUACCGAUUAGAAGAUACGCAAGCAGAAGCUCUGACUCUGAUCAACACAAGUGCAAGCUAAACAAAAGACAUCAGACACUCUGAAGUGGAAGAAUGACUCUAGAAUUUGAAGACUUAUGCUAUGAUGAAAUCAAGUGAAAGGAAGCUCUGAAGACAAUCAGCAGCAAGCAUAUAUCUGAUGAUACCCCUUUUGAAUAGAGACUCUGAAGUUCGAUCCAUCUAAUUCAGAAUACUUAGCUAUGAAGGAACCCAUUUAUGGAAAGAAUCUAAUUCAGGAAGAAGUUUCUGGCCCCCCAAAAUUGUUUUGGAAAGAACACAGAGAUUAAUGACAUUAAUCAUCCAUCAUUGCCCAAGAUUCUAACAUUAACAUCCUUUAACGGUCCU